rnacentral:rRNA from 1 species
GACGAACGCUGGCGGCGUGCCUAAUACAUGCAAGUAGAACGCUGAAACUUGGUGCUUGCACCGUGCGGAUGAGUUGCGAACGGGUGAGUAACGCGUAGGUAACCUGCCUGGUAGCGGGGGAUAACUAUUGGAAACGAUAGCUAAUACCGCAUAAGAGUAGAUGUUGCAUGACAUUUGCUUAAAAGGUGCAAUUGCACCACUACCAGAUGGACCUGCGUUGUAUUAGCUAGUUGGUGGGGUAACGGCUCACCAAGGCGACGAUACAUAGCCGACCUGAGAGGGUGAUCGGCCACACUGGGACUGAGACACGGCCCAGACUCCUACGGGAGGCAGCAGUAGGGAAUCUUCGGCAAUGGACGGAAGUCUGACCGAGCAACGCCGCGUGAGUGAAGAAGGUUUUCGGAUCGUAAAGCUCUGUUGUAAGAGAAGAACGAGUGUGAGAGUGGAAAGUUCACACUGUGACGGUAUCUUACCAGAAAGGGACGGCUAACUACGUG